rnacentral:rRNA from 1 species
AAGCGUUAAGUAAUCCACCUGGGGAGUACGUUCGCAAGAAUGAAACUCAAAGGAAUUGACGGGGGCCCGCACAAGCGGAGGAACAUGUGGUUUAAUUCGAUGAUACGCGAGGAACCUUACCCGGGCUUGAAAUGCGUCUGACAGUCGGAGAGAUCCGAUCUCCCUUCGGGGCAGACGUGUAGGUGCUGCAUGGUUGUCGUCAGCUCGUGCCGUGAGGUGUCGGCUUAAGUGCCAUAACGAGCGCAACCCUCAUCGUUAGUUGCCAUCAGGUAGUGCUGGGGACUCUAACGAGACUGCCAUCGUAAGAUGCGAGGAAGGUGGGGAUGACGUCAAAUCAGCACGGCCCUUACGUCCGGGGCGACACACGUGUUACAAUGGGUGGUACAAAGGGCAGCUACAUGGCGACAUGAUGCCAAUCCCCAAAACCACUCUCA